AUAGGAGUGAUAUCUGUCGUUCUCUGACUGACUUCUUUCACUUAGCAUGAUACUCUCCAGGUCCCUCCAUGCUGUCUCAAAGGAAAAGUGCUGCUGAAUACUUUGGGAAGCUUAUGGUGAACAUGCUCCAUCUCAAGAUACUUGUGAACACUGGUUUAAACGCUUUAAAUGUGAUGAUUUUGAUGUGAAAGACAAAGAACGUCCAGGUCAACAGAAAAAGUUUGAAGACCAACUAUUCCAAGCAUUACUGGGAGAAGAGAACAGAAGACAGCAGGAGAAAAGGGAAGGAAGGAAAGAAGGAAGGAAAGGACAGACAUCCGGACACAGUUCCUGAUCCCUCCGUGGUCCUCAUUUAAGGUCCUCGCCGGCGCCUUGGGCCUGGGCCCCCAGUGUGGUCGCGGGGGCACGCACAGAAGCAGAUACAAGAUAAAGGACGGGCCGUCCAGCCAAGGUGAGCGGGAGUGUGAUCACCCUGGAGCGAGUGACGCGGGCAAUCAUUCACACAGACGAUUUCUUCUGAGAUGGACAGCUUCUCGCCUGGCCUCGGGGAGCUGGGAGUGUGACCUUGGGCGAGUUAUUUGCUUCUGGGGGCCCUGACACCCCUUGUGAGAUGAGCAGCACCUGCCAGCCGGCCGCCGUGCGUCUGUGAGCCCUGGCCACGCCGGCCGCCCCGCUCCUCCAACCCGGGAGUCACCACCACCUGCCGAGCAGGGCCGGGCAGGGGCGGCUGGCCACCGGCGCCAUCCCGGGUGGCUGAGCCUGGGCUGUCCCCAGUGGUUUGUUUGAACUCAGCUGCGGGCACAUGUUCCCAGGAGGCCUCCGCUAAGGAGACAACAGGGCGGGGGGUCGGUGGUACCGAUGGGCUGUCCUGAGCGGGUGGCACUCCGCGCUGCCCCGGCUUCCUCGUCUGUAGAACGGGAUGGCGAUCCUGUGAAGUGCUUGGUUUUUACUGUUGCUGCUACUGUGACCAUGAGGACGUUUCAACAAUAAAGUCCGAGGUGGCG